GCUGGUUCCUUGUGUGUUUCUGACUUGGCUUUCACUUUGAUGUGUGACUCAUAGACUGCUAUGGCUCGGACAUGCCUUACUUUUGCCACGUACCCUCCUCCUGGCCCAGGCCAGUGUUCAUCUGCUGCAAUCCUUGUGUAAAGGGUCUGUGACCUCAAGAGAAUAAAUCGUUUCCUCUGACUCCUGACGACAGUUGGCAGCUUAGCGCCCCGGCAAAAGGAUCAGAGGUCAAAGAGCUCUCAGUCAUCACCAGCCUGACGAAUCGCUGCACAGACUAAAGGAGCAGCUGUCAGGCCCUCACAGGAAUGUCAAACAGGGGAUGCCCUCUUCCAAAACCGGCCUCCAGUGGAGGCGGGCUCGACCUGGGCUUUCCUGUUAUUUAAGCCCUGGUGCAGUGCUCUGGCCCUGAGGAAAGGCUCUGAGAGAGAGAGAGAGAGAGAGAGUAAACACAACAGAGUUGUGUUUGUGUGUGUGUAGAGAUGGGGUGAACACAAUUGAAUGAGGAGAUGGAUGGGGCAAGUGCAGAUAACUGGGUCAGACUUCUGUUUCGCUACUUCAUGUACAAUUUAUAAUUAGCAUUAUUGGUCUCUGAUUGUUACUGCCAAUGUGAAUAACAGUUCUGGAAAAGUGUUUAGUCUUAGCCCGCACUUUGAAAUUUGGCUCUGUGUCAUUGUAGACCGAGGAUUGCACUGGACAACUAGUCACUGGAGUUUCUUUUUUCAUAUUUCUUAGAAUAGAGUCCCUAAUUACCAGAACGCUUUCAA